GGUCGGCGGUGCGAGGAAUAUAACACCGCAAGGGAAUAACUCCGCUGUUUAUGGUACAGUUUUGAGCCGCCGACCACCCUACU
rnacentral:ncRNA from 1 species